GAAGAGGAGAUGCCAAUGAGGAAGAGGAGGAGGAUGGAGAGUUUUGUGAAGCUUCAUUACUGUGACUGGAGCGACAUCAUCUCAGACCAGAAAACUGCACCGAUACAUGAGAGAAGAGCUGAGGAGGAUCAUGGUCUUCAGGCUCUAUCCAGUGGUGUUGAAGAUCAGCAGGUUCAAACCCCUCCAGCUCCAGUCCACCACAGUCCAGCUCUUCUCCAGGAAUGCUUUAAGAGGAUCAUGGUCUUCAGGACGCUGUAUCCAGUGGUGUUGAAGAUUAGCAGGUUCAAACCCGUCCAGCUCCAGUCCACCACAGUCCAGUCCGUCCAGCACCGGCUCACAGCAACAGAGCGGACGUGACAACUGAGGACGACAUUUUGAGCCGGUAUGAAAUGGGCAGAAUGCUUGGUGAGGGAUCGUUCGGCUCUGUUUAUGAAGGGAAACGCUUGGAGGACGGCCUUGAGGUGGCAGUGAAAAUUGCCAGAAAGCCGCAGAACAUGAAAUACAUCUACAUUCCUGGUCAUCCCGCACCCGUCCCG